rnacentral:rRNA from 1 species
AUUGAACGCUGGCGGCAGGCCUAACACAUGCAAGUCGAGCGGAUGAAGGGAGCUUGCUCCUGGAUUCAGCGGCGGACGGGUGAGUAAUGCCUAGGAAUCUGCCUGGUAGUGGGGGAUAGCGUCCGGAAACGGGCGCUAAUACCGCAUACGUCCUGAGGGAGAAAGUGGGGGAUCUUCGGACCUCACGCUAUCAGAUGAGCCUAGGUCGGAUUAGCUAGUUGGUGGGGUAAAGGCCUACCAAGGCGACGAUCCGUAACUGGUCUGAGAGGAUGAUCAGGCACACUGGAACUGAGACACGGUCCAGACUCCUACGGGAGGCAGCAGUGGGGAAUAUUGGACAAUGGGCGAAAGCCUGAUCCAGCCAUGCCGCGUGUGUGAAGAAGGUCUUCGGAUUGUAAAGCACUUUAAGUUGGGAGGAAGGGCAGUAAGUUAAUACCUUGCUGUUUUGACGUUACCAACAGAAUAAGCACCGGCUAACUUCGUG